rnacentral:lncRNA from 1 species
GGAAGCAGCCCAGGAGGUCUGUUUUCCCGAAGGUUGGGCUGCUGGCCAAGGCUUGGAGGGGGCAGGCAGGGGAAAGGGCAUCAAUGUGACGCAGUCCUAGGAUCCCAGGCAUUUCCUCUCCACCUCCAAGACCCACAGAUGACGUCUCCAAGGAUUGCCUUGGAAAGAAAUCAAACUCAGAAACAGACAAGCCAAGCCCACCGUAUUCUUGGAGACACCUUCAGGUUGUGAGUGAGGAAUGGAUGCCAUUGUUAGUGGCUUCCGUUGUGCUCAGUGGAAACACGCAUCUACAGGUAGAAUGUAGAGGAACAGCCCAAUUCAGCUGUCUUGUGGAUUUCAGGCUGUGGUCUCUCUGCCUCUCUCUGGAACACAGGAGGAACUUUGCUACUGCCUUGACCAACAGAAUAUGGGGGAAGCGACAUUGUGUGAAUUACAAGGUACAUCUUCCAUAAAGACCGCGCCCUGAGCUCACCAUUCCUCUUUCUGAGAGAGCUGAGGCAGUUCUUCCUUCAGGGGAGCAACCAUUGUUCUAGGCUCAAAGCAAGUCUGAGAGAGACGCACACGUGUGGGAUUCUAGGACCUUGACCCUCCACCGCAAACAGAGGCACUCACCUCUGCAUUCUGGGAAACGGCAGUCUGUGUGUCAGCCAGAUAAACACUUAAGUUCAGGGGCAUCUGACAAACAGCUGUCCCCACCGACCUUGUUUUGUUGGUCCCAUUUUCACAACUGUUGAUGUGGCUUCCUGAGUUCCUGACCACUUGAAUAAACAACCAAGAGCAGCAGCCUCGACUCCCUGCAGGACCCUGCGCAGGCCGCGCUGGGCAGCUGUCCAUCAGCACCCCUGUGCACACAGAGAGCAGGCAGCAGACCAGCGCCCUGGACGGCUGGUACCGACGCCCUCCAUCUGUCCGUCUGUCCCCAGGGCUGGGUGGACAGGGAAAUCUCUUUACAGUGCAGACAGCGGAGCCUGGUGUUGAGACCAACUGACCUGAUCUUGAAAGGACUGCAUUCUCCUGCCACUGUCUGGCAGAUUCCAGCUUGGGGCCUGUUUUCUGGAGCUAGCUGUCACAUGAACCCCAGCCUGCUGGCUGGGAGAUCCAGCCAGGUCAGUUUUAUGGCCAAGAGAGCAACCAGUUACUAUCUCGAGCUGGAGAAAAUGGAUUAUCUUUAGUCCUUCUGUGCAAAACUAAAACCAAAAUGUUUCUGUUUUUGGUUUGGGAGUGAUGCAUCUGGGCAGAGGGGUGAGGUGUUAGACUCAGUCCAUGCCCCUCAUUUUGCAAGGCUGAAACUGAGGCCAAAGGGACUUGCUCAGGGUCACAGAGUUGCAGAAAAGCCCCCAGUCAAACUCAGCGGUCCUGAACCCCAGGCUGUCCUUUCAAUUCCCCAGCCUUUGUUCCAGGUUUCAUCCCCCACAGGGCUGCUUGUCCUCAUCAGUGCACAGUAAUCUGAGGCUCUGCAGGAGGGGGCCGCCUUCUCUUUCAUGCUGUGCUGUUGAGCGUAGACCGCAAAACGUGGAAUACCUUGCCCAGGGUUUCUGUCCAGCUUUGCUGUGUAUUUCAAUCUUUUGAGCUUCAGUUUCCAACUCUGGGGAGAAGGGCUAACAAGAGUUAUGAUAUAUGCAUCAGGAGCUUUAAAACAGUCAUAGCCUUUAACCCAGCGAUUGGACUUCUGGGAAAUUAUCCUGUAAAAGUGAAUGAAAAAGCUUUAUGCUCACAAUGUUCAUUGUGCACAUAAGAAAAAUGAAUCUCCAAAACAGUUUCAAACUCACAAACAGAGCAUGAUCCCAGCUGAGUUAAAAAAAAAAAAAAAAAAGGGAAGGAGGCCAGGCGCGGUGGCUCACGCCUGUCAUCCCAGUACUUAGGGAGGCUGAGGUGGGUGAGGUCAGGAGUUUGAGACCAGCCUGGCCAACACGGUGAAACCUCGUCUCUACUAAAAAUACAAAAAUUAGCCGGGCGUAGGGGCGGAUGCCUGUGAUCGCAGCUACUCAGGAGGCUGAGGCAGGAGAAUUGCUUGAACGGGGAGGCGGAGGUUGCAGUGAGCUGAGAUUGCGCCAUUGCACUCCAGCCUGGGCUAUAAGAGCAAGACUCUGUCUCAAAUUAAAAAGAAAAAAAAGAAAAAAGAAGGAAGUAAAUAAACAAUACCCAGGGUUGCUCAGGUGAUGGGUUUAUAAAUAAUAGUUUCUUUAUUCUUUUACUGUUUCAAAAUGUUUUACCGUGUAUCUACCAUCAUGCCUCACUUAACAAUGGGAAUAUGUUCUGAGAAAUGCAUGGUUAGGCAGUUUUAUUGUUGUGUGAACAUUGUAGAGUGUACGCAAACUUAGAUGGCGUAGCCUAUUACACGCCUAGGCUCUAUGGUGUAGCUUAUGGCUCUUAGUGUACAAACCUGUACAGCAUGUUACUGUACUGAAUGUGGUAGGCAACUGUAGCACAAUGGUAAGCAUUUGUGUCUCUAAAUAUAGAAAAGGUACAGUAAAAAUACAGUGUAAAAGAAAAUAAAAUGUAUACCUUGGCAAGGUAUAGAUUUUAAAAUGUGUACAUAGUAAGUGCCCUGAACCUAUAUACCUGUACAGCGCAUUUACCAUGAAUGGAGCUUGCAGGAUGGGAAGUUGCUCUGGGCAAGUCAGUGAGUGAGUGAGUGCGGAGUGGAUGAGAAGGCCUGGGAGUUGCUGUACAUGACUGUAGACUUUAUAAACACAAGACACUUUGGGUACACUACAUUUACUCAGAAAUUUUAUUUCUUCAAAAUAAAUUAACCUUAGCUUACUGUAACUUUUUUACUUCAUACAUUUUUAACUUUUUAAACUUUUUGACUCUUUUGUAUUAUAAUAACACUGAGCUUAAAAC